CCUACGUGCGGCAGCAGUGGGGAAUAUUGGACAAUGGGCGAAAGCCUGAUCCAGCCAUGCCGCGUGUGUGAAGAAGGCCUUCGGGUUGUAAAGCACUUUCAGUGGGGAAGAAAGCCUUGGGGCUAAUACCCUCGAGGAAGGACAUCACCCACAGAAGAAGCACCGGCUAACUCCGUGCCAGCAGCCGCGGUAAUACGGAGGGUGCGAGCGUUAAUCGGAAUUACUGGGCGUAAAGCGCGCGUAGGCGGUCUGAUAAGCCGGUUGGGAAAGCCCCGGGCUCAACCUGGGAACGGCAUCCGGAACUGUCAGGCUAGAGUGCAGGAGAGGAAGGUAGAAUUCCCGGUGUAGCGGUGAAAUGCGUAGAGAUCGGGAGGAAUACCAGUGGCGAAGGCGGCCUUCUGGACUGACACUGACGCUGAGGUGCGAAAGCGUGGGUAGCAAACAGGAUUAGAUACCCGAGUAGUC
rnacentral:rRNA from 1 species